UGGGGAAUAUUGGACAAUGGGCGCAAGCCUGAUCCAGCCAUGCCGCGUGAGUGAUGAAGGCCUUAGGGUUGUAAAGCUCUUUCACCCGUGACGAUAAUGACGGUAACGGGAGAAGAAGCACCGGCUAACUUCGUGCCAGCAGCCGCGGUAAUACGAAGGGGGCUAGAGUUGUUCGGAAUCACUGGGCGUAGAGCGCACGUAGGCGGAUUGAUCAGUCAGGGGUGAAAUCCCGGGGCUCAACCUCGGCACUGCCUUUGAUACUGUCAGUCUUGAGUUCGGGAGAGGUGAGUGGAACUCCGAGUGUAGAGGUGAAAUUCGUAGAUAUUCGGAAGAACACCAGUGGUGAAGGCGGCUCACUGGCCCGAUACUGACGCUGAGGUGCGAAAGCGUGGGGAGCAAACA
rnacentral:rRNA from 1 species